CAUCCUCCUUUUAGCCUCUCUCCAACACCCAGCCCACUCUCCCCCAACACCAAGGUUAUUUUUGCUGGUCAGCAAGCGGACAGGAAGUAACAAUGAAGCUUCCUGCUAAUGCAUCCUGGGAAAGCAGCAGAGGAUGGCUCAAGCACCUGCCUUUCUUCGACGUGGGAGACCCAAAUGGAAUUUCAUGCUCCUGGUUUUUGCCAGGCUCAGCCCUGGUUGUUUACAGGCAUUAAAGGAGUUGAACAGCUCUCUGCUGUGGCCUGGGAAAGCAGAAGAUGGCCCAAGUCCUUGGGUCCCUGCACCCGUGUGGGAGACCAGAAAGAAAAUCUUUGCUCCUGGCUUCGGAUUGGCGCAGCUGUUGCAGCCAACUGGG